CUCUAUCAGUGUCCAACAAUUUACAAAAUAGAUAAUAUAUAGCAAAAAAGUGAGGAUUACUUUCCUGGUAACAUAUAUCUUGUUCAACAUAGGUCAACGUAAUCACUAUAUCACUAGGCUAAUGGAGAAAAACUAUAUAAUAAUCUCAAAAAAUUAAGUAGGGCACAGUGGCACACACCUAUAGUCCCAGAGGCUCUGGAGGCUGAGGGAGGAGGACCAUGAGUUCAAAGCCAGCCUCAGCAAUGGCAAGGCACUAAGCAAUUCACCAAGACUCUGACUCUAAAUAAAAUACAAAAUAGGGCUGGAGAUGUGGCUCAAUGGUUUAGUGACCCUAAGUUCAAUCCCUAGUACCAAAAAAAUCAUUUCACAUAAUUCAGUAUUCUUCAUAAUAAAAGCUUGCAAUAAACUAGAAACAGGAGGUCCCGUAACUUGACAAAGGCAUCUAGGAAAACCUUGCAUUAAUAUCAUACUGAAGAAUAAAAGACAGAAUCUUCUUCCUGAAGAUAAGGGUAAAGGCAACAAUAUUUGUUUUGCUGCUUUUAUUCAACAUCAUAUUGGAAGUCUUAUUAAUAAAUGAAAAAAAACACACACAUUGAAGAAAUAGAAAUACAAACUCUUUACAGUUAACAUUGACUACAUAGAAAAUUCCAAAGAAUCUAAAUAAAAUCUACCAGAGCUAGUUAGUGUCAAUAAUAUUAUAAUGUUUAAGGUUGAUAAUAAAGCUUUAUUGCUAUUCUACAAAUCAGCUAUUUAAAAUUGAAGUUAGAAACAUAAAAUGAUUUAGAAUAGCAUCAAACCCAUAUUAUUUCUUCCCUAUUAUUUAGGAAGAAAUCUAAUAAAAUACUCAAGAUCUAUAUGCUGAAAAUCAUAAACCCUGAUGAAAGAAAUCAAAGAAGACAUAAUAAGUGGACCAUGUUUAUGCAUGGGAAGGCUCAGUAUUAUUACAGCAUCAAUUCUCCCACAUGGACCUAAAGACUCAAUAAAAUUUAAAUCAAAAUCCAGCAGGGUAUUUUUCUAUAUAAACCAACAACCUGAUUUUAAAUUUUAUGUAGAAAGGCAAGGGACUAGAAUAAUCAGUUUUUAAGAGGAAGAGCAAUGUUGAGGACUCUGCAAAGCCCCUGGACCUAGUCUAGUAAGACAAAUCAACUUGAUUACUCAGGUAGACAGCUGCAUGGCGGAAGCCUAAGACCCAUGACACACCAGGCCUCCAACACUUAGGAAAGCUGCUUGAACCUCAUUUGUACGUGCCCUGUGUCAAACUGUAGCAGAGGGACCCCAAGGCACUCCAUUCUGGGUUUAGCUCCCUGCAUGCCACUGGGAAUGCUGAAUUGCAAGCAUUGAUUCUGGAAAUAAUGAGGGUGCAGCCUGAGCUGUUCCAAAGAAUUCCUCCUUGUCUCAAGAUUUUUGCAUUCUCAGUACAUUUUUCCAAAGAGUCAAAGAAGAGGGGGAAGAUCAAGGCCACCCAGGAACCAUUCCCCUAUAGACUUGCAAUACGUAUUUCAAGACUUUCUAUAAAGCUGUAGUAAUUAGGAGAAUAUAGAAUUGAUGAAAAGAUAGACACAAAUCAAUAGAAAAUAUUCUAUUCCAGAUACUAAUGCUCAUGUAUAUGGUCAAUGUAUUUUUGAUGAAAGUGCAAAGGAAAUUAAAUGGAGAAAAAUUUUUUAAAAAAUUUUUUCAAGAAGAGAAAUCAUUGUACAUUCAUAUGUAAAAAUAUUGAAACUUAACUCAUGCAGGUACAAAAACUACAUAAAAAUUAAUCACAAACCUAAAUGCAAAAUUAAAACACUAAUAAUCUUCUACUUGUAAACCCAGGAGAAAAUCUCUGUGAGCUUGCAUUAUGCAAAGAUUUCUUUGAUGUGAUACUAUCAGCACAAUUCAUAAGAAGAAAAGUUGAUAAGUAAAAUUAAAUUUCUGUUUUUUUAAAAAAGACACUGCUAUAAAAAUAUAGCCACAGACUGGGAGAAAAUAUUUUCAAAUCACAUGUAAGAACUUGUAUCCUGAAAAAUAGAUAUAUUCAUGUAUAUAUAUUAAUUUAUUGCCUAUAUAUAAUACACAAUAUAAUAUAUAUUAAUAUAAUUAAUAAUUAAUAUAAUUAAUAUAUAUAUAUUCAUUCCCAACUAUCAAUAAGAAAAUAAAC
rnacentral:lncRNA from 1 species